UACGUAGGGUGCGAGCGUUGUCCGGAAUUAUUGGGCGUAAAGAGCUUGUAGGUGGCUCGUUGCGUCGGGAGUGAAAACCUGCGGCUUAACCGCAGGCCUGCUUCCGAUACGGGCGAGCUAGGAGUUCGGCAGGGGAGACUGGAAUUCCUGGUGUAGCGGUGGAAUGCGCAGAUAUCAGGAGGAACACCGGUGGCGAAGGCGGCAUCCUGGACCGACAUUGACGCUGAUGAGCGAAAGCUAGGGGAGCAAACGGG
rnacentral:rRNA from 1 species